rfam:Desulfosporosinus sp. OL contig00003, whole genome shotgun sequence.
UCGGAUGAGACUAGUAGGAGAGAGCUGGGAAAACCAGACGCCGAAGGAGAAAAUCCCUUGAAUCGCCUUUCAAGGGGGGAAACUCUCAGGCAAAGGUACUACUAGAUGACGAUACUCUGGAGAGUUUCUCUUAAAUGAGAACACCAAAGGGGAAGCCGGUUACGGCGAAUCUCUCAGGUUAAAGGACAGAGAA